UCCCUGGUGGCUCAGUGGAUAAGACUCCGCACUACCAAUGCAGGGGCCCAGGGUUCGAGCCCCUGUCAGGGAA